UGUACCUAGACCACUGCAACAUAGUAAUUUUCAGAAUAUUUUCACAGUCUGAGGAAGAAUCUCCAUCCUCAAGUGCCCUGUAUACACACCUAGGCAACUGUUAAUUUACUUUCUGUAUGGAAUCCCCUCAUUUUGGCCAGUUUAUAUCAAGUACAGUAUGUGUACUUCUGUGCCUUCCAUUUGCCCUUUGUUUUCAAGGUUCACCCACUUGCUACAUGAAUCAGUACCUCAUUCACUUUUCUUGCUGCAUAAAAUUACGCUCUAUGAAUUUACCACAUUUUCUUUAUUCAUUCGUCAUGUGAGGAACAUUUGGGUGUUUCUAUUCUUUGGCUGUGUGAGUAAGCCUGUGUUGAAUAUUCAUGUUUACAUUCUUGGUAUACAUGCAUUUUCUUUUCUCUUGGGUAAGUCUCACGGUGGAAUUACUAGGUCAUGGGAUAACUCAAUAUUUGACUUUCUCAAGUUUUGCCUGUUUUCCGAAGUGACUGGACCUUUCCACAUUCCAAUCUGCAGUUUGUAAGUGUUCCAGUUUUUCUGCAACUUUGUAAGCACUUGUUACUACCCAUUCUCUUUUUUACUGGCUGCUUCCAAUGAGGCAGGAUGUCUUUGUGGUUUGAUUUGCAUUCCCUGAUGGCUAAUUAUAUUGAACAUCUUUUCAUGUACUUACUGGCUAUUUUUACCUUUGCAGACAUGGCUCUGCAUAUCUUUGCUCAGUUUUAAAUUGAGUUUCUUUUUAUUACCUAGUCAAUAGAAUAUUUUGUCAUUAGAAUCUACAGUUCAGAAAGACCCUUAUAAUAAAUAAGACUAGAAUAUUUUCUUGAAUGCUUUUACAAUGCUUUUUAGUUAGCAUGUUUUCAGCCAUUUUUUUAAUUUUGAAAAUGUAUAAUUUAUACUUUGUUGUUUUGCCAUUUUUAUGCAUUCAGUAAGAAUAUUUUUAUCUAAUCUGAGGAAACUAUAUUUACUUCCCAAGAUUUGCUACUAAUCUUUAUAACUGUAUCUCUCUUUAGUUUAUUGUAAUGAAUAGUGAGGAGUGUAAAAUCAAUUUCUUUCUUUUCCAUGUGGAUAUUCAUUCAUUCCCACAUCAAUGAACCUAUGGUUGAAAAACUAAUGCAUACUGAAUAUCAAUGGUACCCUUGUCAAAAGUGAAUUGACAAGGUGAUUGUCUUUUCUAGUUAUUUUUCUUGUAUACUUCUGUCUAUCCUUAUACAAUUAUCACAAUUUAUUUGAUUUCUUUAACUAUGAAUUAUUACAAUUCUAAUUUCAUUAUUCUCAAAGGUUGUUUUGACUAUUUUGGGUCUCUCAAAUUAACAUAUGGUUUUGGAUUGGCAUGCUAACUUCUGCUUAAAAAAAGCAUUUGCGAUUUCGAAAAGAACGGUUUGAAUCCCAAGAUCAAUCACAAAAACAAUGUCAUCUUAAUGUUAAGUGUUUUGAUCCAUAAAUAUGAACCCCUUGUUGAUUAGCAUCUUUGAUGUUCUCAACAGUGUUUUGUAGUUUUCAGUGUAUAUAUCUUAUACAUCUUCUGUAAAGUUAUCUUUAUGAUUUUUAUUUUUAUAUCAUUGUAGAGUAAGCUGUUUCCUUAAUUUGACACUUAGUGUGUUCAUUUCUAAUGUAUAGACAGACUAUUGAUUUUUACUUCUUGGAUUUAUAUUGGGUAACCUUACUCAACUCAGUUGUUUUUAGUCUUGAUUACUUUUAGUGGAUUGCUUUGAUAUUACAUUUUGACUGGCCACAUGACUGGAUGGAGAAGCACCUUGGAAACUGCUGUGUGUGUCUUCAUUGUGUUUCCAGAGGGGAGUAAUCCAGGACUGAAGACAUCACUGGAAUGUGGGCGCCAUUAUCCUUAGGCUGGGAGUGGAUGAAAUAAAAGGGAGAAAGGAUAAAGCUUACAGAAUAGGUAUUCUUUCCAUUUAUUUCCUUAAUGCUAUCAUGAAUAGCUCAUUUCUCAUGCCCCCACAACCAUGAUAUGCAGCCUUUCAUUAGGCUCAGAGUAAUGGAUCCAGAUUACCAUGGACUGAAGGUGCUUAAGCUGUGAGAUUCAUUGCAUGGUUCUUGUCAAUUUUUCUGCCUGGUAGAUAAGUCAUAGACAUUGGAAGUUAACUCACACAAAUCCUUAUGGUUUCCCUCUUUCAGUCUUGCUUUAAUAUUGACUGGUAACCUUGAAAAUAAAGCAUGUCCUUGCAUGUAGGACAUCUCCAGAGGUUGCAGUGUCUGGAGGGUAGCUGCUGUGUGAUGAAAGGACUGUUCCCAGAGCUGGGGCUACAGUUCAGAGUAGGACAAGUGCCCAGUGUACAUGACGCCUUGAGUUUGAUCCUAGCAAGAACACUGGGCCAAAUGAAAAUACCACAAGCAUGAUUUAAGGGUGCCAAAUAAGAAGCUUACCUAUCUCAAAAUAUCUGACUGCUGGCAUUAUCCAGAGGAAGUUAACAGGCUUAUCUCUUGGUAUGGUAAGGAUGAAUUGCUGUAAUGUGUUCAUUUUAAUUUGAAUGACUACUUAUCUUCCCAUAUUAAUACUAAAAGUCUACAGAAAUAAAAAUAGCAAAGCACUAAUAACAAUUUUCUCCUUCAUUUUCCUAGUUGAAAUCAUAUAAUUACGUGUGUUCGGAAGCCACGUGGAUGUUAUGUACUUAUAUAUACAUUUAGUAAUCGUCUACAUGUUUAGAAGCGCAGAUAAGAGAAUUUUAAACCGGCCAUAGUGACACAUGCCUAUCAUCCGAGCACUCAAGUACUGAAGGAAAAGGGUCACAAAAUCAAGGGCAGUCUUGAUUAUGUACACAUUGGUCAAAGAUACAUAAUGAGACCCUUUAUGAAAGGAGGUAAAAGUGAAUGUAUUGUUAUUAUUAUUAUUAUUAUUAUUAUUAUUAUUAUUGUUAUUGUUAUUAUACAAUUGGCUUUUGGUAUAGUGGGUACUUUUUCAUGUUCCCCACUUUAGGCAUAACUUUAGGCAUAAUCACUGUAUAUUUGGUAUGCUUUUCACCUAGGUUGGUAUCUUCCGAUUACUAACAAGGUAUGUCUCUCCUGCCUCCUGUAAAGGCCAAUAACUGCUCAGAAGCACAGACCCAUUUUUUAAGUCUUGCUAAAACUCUCGGGCCACAUUCUUGAAAGUGGUUUUAUAAAACUAGAAUUUUAUUGAAGAUGUUAUCUAUCUAUCUAUCUAUCUAUCUAUCUAUCUAUCUAUCUAUCUAUCUAUCUAUCUAUGGGUUUUAGAGACAGGGUUUUACUCUAUUAGCAUAGGUUGACAUGCUAUGCAUCAUUGAACCAAGGCUGCUCUCAAUCUUGUCACAGUACUCUGACUUCAAGUUCUGAAAUUACACGCGUGUGCUGCCACACCCAAUUUUUAAUGGAAUGCAGCAAAAGGAACACUUCUUAGCAUCGUCUUUUGAUUUUUUUUUCUUUUUCCAAUUCCUUAUUGCCUGGAAUUGUUCUGAAUGGAACAAUUUCUUUCAGAGAGUUCUUUGGGGAACGGAAUGUAAGAAUUUAUUCUUAUCAUCUGUUUCAAGAGAAACAUAUAGUGCCAAAACAAUGACCUGAUAGGUAACGGAAUAAACAGCAGCAAUAUAAAGCCAGUUCUCUGGGAUAUAGUUAUGUUAUUACUGUCAAACAGAGAGUUUCUGGUUCAUUAAGUCAGAAAGGCCAAAAAGAGUAUAAAGAAUAAAGGUGAAGAUCUUUUAUUCCACUUAUUCUCAUAUUCACCCCCUCACCUCUGG
rnacentral:lncRNA from 1 species